GCCAUCACAGACACAUCUACGGAGGGCAGUGUCAGUGGUGGUGGUGACGGUGGUGGUGGUGUGUCUACUCUUUUGUAUUACUAUUCAGACUUGCUAUACAUCCAGACACACCCAUACAUGCUCAAAAAUACACUCAUAUAACCAAAACACACCUAGAAUCAGCUAUAAGUACAUCCAAACAGUCGUACAUACGUACAUACACACAAGUGAAGUGCAGUGUUACCAUAUUCUUGCCAAACUGGACCAGCAGGAAGGCCAAACCUGAAGACAAGGGUGAACCAGCCAAGUCAACACCGCAUUGACACAACGCUCGAUCCACAAUGCAAGCCUUACAUUCAUUUGUUUAAAAUGUGUAUAGGUGGGAGAAGUAGAAUACAGAAGAAAGGGGAAAC